UCGAAGGGGUCAUUAUUUUCUUGACCUGUGUCGAGAGCCUUCUUAGAGACCGGGGAUGUUUGAUAGAAACUUUCCGUCUUUGUUGAGACGAGGUUCCCUAGGUCUUUGGUGUGGUUUGUUUUUCAUCUGUUGUCGAUGUAAUUCGUCACUUUCCUUUUUAAUUUUCCUCCUCUUUUCCGAGUGAGGGUCCUCCCCUUGCUUUUUGUGGGGUCGCGUAGAAGUGUGGAGGUGCCAUUGAGGGGACUUUUCCCUUUAUCCAAUUUUGUUGGACAGUCGGGUUUUUGUCAUCGUCAGAACGAGGUUCUCCUUCUGUUCU
rnacentral:lncRNA from 1 species